AAAAGGUUAAUCUAAAAUAAGACUAUUAAUUUCGACUUAAUAAAUUGUGUAUUAACCACAACCUUUUC
rnacentral:tRNA from 1 species